UAGCUUUGGAUAAAGACUAGGAUCCAAGGGACUGUAAUUUAGAAGACAGCAGUGGGGCAAGUGCUAAGUGUUAAUUUUCCCCACUAAGCCCUAUAAAGGCGAAUAAUUUUGGAGGGACAGCAUGAAGAGGACUAGAUAAAACUAUUUUACUACUUAAAAAGGGUGAGAUACUUUAUAGGAAUGAGAUCCUAAGUGAGCAAGGUGUUCUUGUUAUAGCAGCCCAAGUCAGUUGUUCCAGUUGUCUUGGGAGGGUUUCUUUAGUCUUCAAAGAAAGUACAGACAGUAGGAAAGGUUCUAUUCAUUAAACAUGGAUAUUAGGGUUACUGGAUUCUAUUUUGAGAAACUUUGGAUAAGUUGCUUGGGAAGAUAGUUUAUUUCAAGGUAUACAUUUUAUUUGUGUAGGCAUAUUUAUUUUAGAAUUUGAAGGCAAGGUUACUUUCCUGAAUUUUUAAAAAUUUCUCUUAAAACACUAGAAACUUAAGAGGUCUGUUGGUGCCAGUACCUGAAUGUGACAUUUAAUAUGUCAUGGAAAGCUAUGCUUUCAAUA
rnacentral:lncRNA from 1 species